CUGGCAGUAAACGAUGUGAACUUGGCGUUGGUGGGAUAAAACCUAUCAGUGCCGAAGCAAACGCGAUAAGUUCACCACCUGGGGACUACGGCCGCAAGGUUAAAACUCAAAGGAAUUGACGGGGGCCCGCACAAGCAGCGGAGCGUGUGGUUUAAUUCGAUGUUACACGAAGAACCUUACCAGGGUUUGACAUGCAUGUGGUAGAGAAGCGAAAGUGGAUCGACCCUUCGGGGAGCAUGCACAGGUGU
rnacentral:rRNA from 1 species